AGAUAAAUGCAAGAGAUACAGAUACACUAGUCACAAGCAAUCGGCAUGGCAUUUGCAUACUUAAAAUAGAAAUCGAAAUUCUGACACUGAAUCACUUGUAAUUAGUUGUUAGCAGCGCAAUUAGUGUUGAGAAAGGGUAUAUGAGGUGUGGUAACAUUUAAAAUACUCAUUGGCAAACGAUAAAAUAUAAAUCUUAGAUAAUUAGAGAUUAAUCAGCAAGUUGGAGUUAAUGCAAUCAACUCUAUAUUUUUUUAGAAGUUUAAAGUUUAGUUCAUAGUAGUAAAAUUGGAAAAGCAAACAGCACUGAUGAUUGAGAACGCCCUUUACCAAGAUAAACCACUGUAAUUUUCUAGUGCAUAAUUCCACAUUGAUUCAAAGCUGGAACUCCUCCCACUCCCACUUCCACGUCAAAGAGAAAAAAAAACAGGGAAAAUCAAAUACACGCCUCGAAAACAAUCAGAACCAAUUAACCGAAAUUGAACAAUCGAGCAAUGAGCAAUGAGCGAACGAAUAACGAUUGGGGGCUGGAGUUGGGAGAUCCGAGCUAAUUGCCAAUCGACAGAAUGUUAACCCAGACAUUUUGACGACGCAGCCGGCGGGGUUCGGGGUUGGGGGCUCCAGGGGAUUGGGGGCCAAGUGGGCUGCUCAUUCUGCAUGCAACGCUGACUAAUUUAUGUGCGGCGUUGAGUUCGAGUUCGGACUUCAGGCCUGACCUCGCCGCAUUGCAACUUCAACUCUGAUUCAAAUUCAAAUACUGCAACGCGGUCUAUGCACAAAAGAAAAAAAGGCAUGAAGUAUUUUCACCUCAUAAGCUUUUAUCUUACUUUUUACUGUUACCGUAAUAGUAUUAAAAGUGUGUGUCCAAAGUGAAUUAUCUUAAAAAUGAACAUAAGAUUUUCCAAAACUGGUACAUUUAAGUCCUUGAAUUUUCGGCCCGUGUAAACUACGAAGUCAAUGCCAGUUGGUUUCGCUUGGGCGCUUUUCUUAGCUUUUGGUUUUCCGUUUUUCUUUGAGUUUCCUGCGUGGGUGUCGUUUCUUGGGUUUGGCCCCACUGGUCGUGCUCUCUAACUGUUUUUGCGCUGCUCGUGCCAAACCAAAUGAACAAAAAACAAACACAAGCCACAGAAAAAAAAAAAAACAGAAAACAAAAACGAGAGCUCGUAGACAAUUAUAAUUUGACGUUUUGAUUUGGCACUGCACAUGUGGCCAGAGGUUUUUGCAUUGUUUUUCUUUCGGUUCGAUUGUUUCUGCCGUCUCUUUGGUGGCUGCAAAUCCAUGUCAUUGACAGCUCGGCCAGUCGAAUGCAUUUGAAAAGCGAUUCGCUUUGAAAUAUCUGCGAGUGCUUAACUAUUUGUUUGCUUAACUCUGUCGCUUUUUUCGUGGUCGCCACACGCUGAGUACAGAAUUAUGUUUCAAGGUUCUGGCAGAGAAACGUAGCAUUUUUUUAUUUUUUAUUUAGCCGCAGUGUGUGGGAGCAGCAUGUUUCAGAAGUGAGGUAAUACAAUGUUUUCGAAUAUCAUUUCUAUGCAGCCAUACCUUUUAAAGGAAUUUCUGAAAUGUAAGUGAUUAAAUUAAACAGCAUAUAUAGCCAUGGAGAAUAUUAAGUUGAAAUAAAUCAUUAGAGAUCUUCCGAUCAUCAAAAUCUAUUCGAUUCGUUUAAUAUUUUUCUGGCUUUUUAAUUUUUUGGGGUCUUCUUCCUUUUUCCAGUUUUAAUAAUAGACAGACAAAAUCCCAUUGGCAAUUAUGCAUUUUGUAUUUUUCGCUGUUCUUUGCGAGGCAGCAUCAUUAUUGGCCUUAGUCCAACCCGGUAAUAAACUCCACGUCCAAAUCGGGCUGUCGCGUUGACAGUUGCAAAUGCUGCACUGCCGCCCCCCUUUUGGCAGCCUCCCCUGGAACAUCUACACUCACACAGAUACUAGCAUAUGUGCUUGUAUGUGUAUUUUGUUCUGUUUUUGUAUAAACUUCCGCAUUUUGGGGGCGCGCUCAUUCAAGAAGGCGAUGGCCUCCUUCGGUUCCUUCUACGAGUAUAUCCUCUAGCAUUAUCCGCAGCUUCCUUUUCCAACUCCACCAUUUCCAUAUGUUUGCUUGGCUGGCCCACAGAUCUUUGCGAAUGAUAGAACCUCAGCCAAUAUUUACAUAUACAGAGACACUCGCAGAAAGAGAUGGCCAGCGAUUGGGGGAAAGAGAGCGAAGAACAACGGGCACACAAUUUUCUAAUGUUUGUGCUACAAUUCCUCAAGCAAAAAGUGGCGGGGAAAUACUGACACAAGUCGUGUUACUUGCCGCUGCUCCAAACUCAUUCCGAGAAAUGAAAAAUUAUACCAAAGAGUUAAUUUUUGCGCCCCGCUUCUUUGCUUGAAUCAUUUGCUUUUUCUUUUCCUUUUUUUUUUUUUUUGCGAUUUCCCGCCAGGGAAAUAAGCUGCCAGCAAUGGGAGGGAGAAAAACUAGAGACACAGACUUGAAGAUGACGCGUACAAAUGUGCGAUUUAAAUGAGGAGCAGGAGCCAACCUCAGAUUUAGAUUCAGCCUACAGCUGCCAUGUGUCAUGGCAGAAGGAGAACGGCACUGAGAAAAAUCAAUUGAAUGAAUUUCUUAGUUUUAAGAAUAACAGAAGAUCUUAGAAAAUGUGAGAUCUAUAGGUUAUUAUUCUGUAGAAACAAAAACUCAUCAGCCUUACUUUUGAAGCAGAAACAUGCUUUUAGCAGCCUUUUAAUUUAUAAUAAAAAAGUGCAACGAAUACUUUAACGACUGAACAACUUUAUAUUAAUUGUUAAUUGAAUUCGAUUCUUUACUUCUUUUUCCAGUGCUGAGAAUCGUGGAGAAAUCAAGUCGGUAGCUUUAGCCUUUGGUGCUGCACUUGCCUCCGAGUGUUGCAAUUAGCUGCAAACUGCAAUCAGUUUAGCUUGAGACGCCUGUGAGGCAAAAGUUUUUCCUUGCCACACAUCUCCAUCAACUUGCAACUUUUCCUGAGCGCUUUUCCUUUUUCGACUCUUUUUUUUUCGACGCUCAGAUGCGUGACGUACAUUUCAAUUGGACAGCGUCAUUAGAAGGCGGCUGCUGCUGCUUCUGGCUGCUGUUGCACUCACUGCCACGCCCACCUGCCAUAACCUUGGUCAAGAAAAUGACAAAUCUCUCGAACAGAAUGCCCGACAUCAAAGGGGCCGCCACUUGUCUUGGUCAGGAGAUAUGUCAAACACACCGGUGGAACUCAAGCCGCGGUCUCAAUUGCCGCAAAAUAACGCGAAAUGUGCUGGCGGAGUCCACCACCACCGCAAAAUCACUUGACCACAUUCAAAUCGAACUUCGGGCUUAUUAAUAAUUAUGACAAUGCCAUCGACAGCUUUUCUCAGGAAUGUCACUGCGGUGGCGACGAGAAAAUAGCAAUAGCCACAAUGGCGACGGCUGCCCACGAUCGAAAUCACUUGGCCCUGCUCAAUCACUGAGAAAAAUUCAAGACAUCUUUUGGAAUAAUGCACAUAUAAGGAUUUAUUUAUAAGAGAAAUAUAUUUAAUAAUAAUUGAUUUAAUAUAUUUAAUAAUUUUGAAUAAUCAAUAAUGAGAAAGAACUACAUGUGCAGUCUAUUUUAAUUUCAAUUAAUUAAUUGUAUGAUAUUUAAGAUCAGUUUACUGCAAUCACUUGAUUCAAGAUUCUUUGCCCAUUUCCUCAUAGUUACAUCUGAAGCCAUAGAGCAUCACAUAAACCUGAUUCCAAUCUUCAAUUCCAGUCAUUCUCUGGCGAUUAUUUCAUCACUUUCUCCUCUGAUUUGGCGUUUAUAAUAAUCUUGGUUCCGCUUUAAUUUUCGCAGAGUGCAUUUCAUGUCUGCAAUCUGAAUCUGAGUCGGGCUGUGCUAUUUGAGUUUGAGUUUGAGCAGUGGCGAUUGUCACACGAAGACUGCGACUUAACUUCGAGUAAAAUACAAUAAGUUGGCCGUUGUCGUUGCAGUUGCUGUUGCAUUUGCUGUUGCUGUUGCCCGUUGACCGCUUUUGAUCGUGACCACCAUUGUGGUUGCCGCCUCGUAAACACGUAUAAAAAACACAAGACAAGGCCCGCAACGUGGCCAAGUUUAUGCGACUGGGCAUUUAUAAAGUUUUCAACGCUUAUUUACGAUCCGAUCGCCAGCGCCCCCGCUUUCAGUUCACUUCACCCACUUAUCGAUCGCAGAUCUUUGGAACUCUGGAUCUUCGGAUCUUGCGAUCUGUGGAUUUUUCUUUCCCUAAUGCCGAGCGGUACGAAAGGCAGGCGCUCAACCAAAACGCUCGGCUUAACUGGGCCCAAAUGCGCAGCAGAGGCAAGUUUACUUGUUUCCUCACCUCCGGUUCAGCCAAGCGCUUCUUGACCUGCUGCUGCAUUUUCCCCCUGCAUAUGAGCAGCUGUCAAAAUGUCCAGGCACAGCCCGGGAAAACCCAUCAGUGAGGUGGGAUGCACUUCCUCAUCAUCGCUGCGGCACAGUUAGAAAUACAUACUGUGGGGGAAUUGCGUAGGGCGCAUCGCAUCAAGAUCAAAAGAAAUGGCAAGAAAUUAGCAUUUAAUUUCAGCAGCGCGCAACUGUGCGAAAAACGAAGAGAGAACAAAAGGGUGGGGAAAGCUGGCUAAAAUGAAAGGCUUGAAAAGGGUUAUCGAGGUUUAUCCAGAUGUGGCAAAGAUAUGAACAAGCGGAAAUUGCAAUGAAUGCAACAAAGGGUGUAUAUCCAGUGGGAUAAGAUCAUAACUCAAUUAUAACACCGUAACUAAUUUUCAGAAUACUAAGAUUAUGCUACAAGUGAGUGUCAUAGUCUCGCCUGUAUUGGUCUACAGACUGAUUUAUAAUCCGAAACAAUGAAUUUGAGUAAGUAACAAUGGAGAUUUAAGUCUUCGAUGGCUUGGUUCCUCCCUCCUGCGGCAUCCCCGCACUAAGCCCCGCCCACUGAUUAGAGCCUUCGAUUAAUUGCAUUGUUUCAAUUGCUGGCACUUGACAGCUGCUGCACGAAAGACAAAAGAGCGCUGCUAAGCGGCUUAGAGUCAAGUGGAGUGCCGGACAAUAGUUAGUUUUAGAAAAUGGCCAACAGAAUCCAGUGAUUGGAAUAUAAGCCAUGAAUGGUUAAUUAAAAUUGAGCUCAAAUCGAGGGAGUUCGGCGGAGUUCCGAGGAGCUGGGAGUGCCGCCCCAACGAACAACUUAAUUAAUGUUAUUUAUCGAUGCGGAAUAUCUGACUUCGACAAGAACCAGAACUCCAAGCGCACCCCAUUCAGCGGUAAAUCAGCAGGCGCAGUGCGGAAAUGCUAAUUAAAGUAAAUAAUAAAGUCGACUCUGGUCAAGGAAUUGCAGUUGCAAUUGCAGUGUCCGUUUAAUGGGCACCGGGGGAGUGAGUGCUGGUCCGCGGGGGGGGCCAAACCCCCUACCCCCACCCCUCAGGGAGGCGACAGCGGUGGCGGCGUCUGUGAUUAGCCGCCCAGAGAACAGUAAUUUUCCUGGCGACGACGACGACGACGAUGACGAUGAUGGUGGAGCUGCGCUUGAACCUGCAGCUCAUGGCGGACCAUUCACCUGCUCAUCAUUAGGUGGGGCGUGUCCUUGAGCCUGCGGCAUUUUCGACUCUCUUCCCGGGAUCGCUUAUGCGUUGCCCUGCGCUGUAAUGAACUGCUAUUGUCGUGUUGAACUCUAAAAGAAGCUAGCCAGAGAGCUAUUUACACUGCGACACAUCCUUGAUACUUUAAAUGUCUUGAAAAUAUUAAACAAUUUUUAAAAUUUUCUUAUCUAACUCAAACAAAAACCAUCUACAUUUGCUGUUUAAUAAUGUAUCUGAAACUAUUUCAGUUAUUCAGCUCAGAAGUACAUUUUUAUUCUCAUUUGGUAGCUAUUUUCUAUAUUUUAUUUUCUGUUCUAAUCAUAUCAGUCGCUUUUUCUCUCAGUGCUGAUUGUGGCCAUUACAGCUGUAGGCGUGGUCUAGAAUGGGCUGGAUCGGGGCUGAUAUAGUGGAAUACUCUCGAUGGGGUGGAGAGGUAGCUCAAAUUUGAAUGCCGCCUUGGCGCCCAGAAGAGCUGGCGGCGGCGCGUGGCGCUCUUUCCUUCUUGCUGAGCGGUGGAGGAGGGGGGGAGGGGAAUGACUGGCGCCAAUCUCUAAGUAGACGGACAAUUUUGCUGGCCUUAACGGAGCUUCGCCUGCUCCUCCCCCUGCUGCUGCUGCUGAGCUUCAGUCUUUCAGCGGAAAUCGCCUGUCAAUUUGGUCUGUACAGGAAUUGUCGUGGCUCUUAAGAUCAGGUUGGUAACUUCUGCUUCUUAGCGGCUUGAGGAUGGUGGCAGGAAACGCGAAUUGGGUUUCUUGAUCUGCUGAUCCGAUUGGAAAUGCCAAGUUGACACGUUUUGUUGGGCCUCGCAGCGUGUGAAAAUCCUCGACAACUUCCUCUUUUACUAAUUAAAAUCGAUGUUUUCACCCGAUUUGAAUAAUAUUUAAGAUCCUCCAAGAGAUUUUCCUCUAACUUAAUUAACAUACUACUGGUUCUUGAGUUGAGUUAAGGCUUAAUUUAAGAAUAUGUCCAUUGUAUAACUUGGGAAAGUUGUUAAGAUCUUUAAUUAAAAUGGUUUCAUACGGCAGCGGUAUUGUAACCAUGUAAAAUCAUUACGGAUUUGUUUAGUUUUGUUUUCAAUCCUCAUUAAAAUAAUCGAUUUGCUACAUGAUCUUGUGUCCAGUUUUUCGCCUUCUUGGAAUAGAUAUUUCCUGCCUUUUUCUUUGUUCUACCCACCAUUUUAUCAUUACUGGCCAGAGAUGAUUAUCGAGCCGGGUUGGUAAUUAGUUUUCAUGGCAAAUAUAACGAAGCCUAAGCAGCCCGAACCAGAUCGCGUCGUUCGGCAACAAAUUAGCCCUUGCGGGCAGGAAAAAAUUGAAAAGUCCAGGGAAAAGCGUCCGCUAAUCCGCACCUUGCCGAACAAGGAAGUGGAAAACACACUGCACUCGAUCGAGUGCGGAUGGCUCGCUUUUCCCCAGCUUGUGCGCGCCCAUUUAAUACUCGUACUUGGCAAUUUAAUAUGAAAUUGUUGGCCAACUCAACUCUCGGGCCGAAACUCUCUUCUUUCGGGUGCUGAUAGCCUUGUCUAAGUGCUGCCAUCAGCGGAGGUUCUGCCUCCUGUAGCUGCAGUUGCUCCUGCUGCUGCUGCUUCUGCUGCUUUUGGUCUUCGAUGAUGUUGUUGACGAUGGUCUGGCCACUGCAAGUGCAACUGUUAGUGCAACUGCAACUCCAACUACCGACCUGCAACUACCAACUUGCAACUGGCAAACUGCCUGGUGCCGUUCUCCUGCUGCCUACUUUAGCUGGCUAGAUAAUUUCAAUCAUUAAUUUUGAUUAUGAACAAGCGUGGCCGGGACUCGUGUUCGGGACGAAGAAAGGGGUAGCUUCUCCAAGGGAAAGGAAAGCAGAGGAAAGCGAAGGAGGAGCACCAGAAGGAGAGCAUGGGGUGGCCACUUCUGCUUCUGCCACGCACGAGCUCUUAAAACAUUGAUGGUACAGUGAAGCGAAAGCUUUCAAAACGGUUUAGGAAAAUAUUAGAAAAAAUCUAAAAGCAAUACUAAAAUUUGCGUAAGAUAGGUUUGUAAACUACAGCACAAAUAAAACGUUUAUUUGAAAACCUCAUGAUCAAUUUCAUUUGGUUUUGCCCCACUGUAGGUUACUGGCCCGUUGCCAUCGAAAUGAGUUCAUAAAAACCAAGAGGCGGUGGCUGCAGAUGAUGAGAAGGAUGAAGGGGUUGUUGCCUUUGCUUUUGCUAUGGCGUGGGGCAGAUUGGGUGGCUGGCUGGUGCUCCGUCCUAUUCCUCGGCUGCUUUUCCCGCUGCUGGUGGCUCGUUUGCAAGUGAACGACACAUCGUUGCUACCAGAAACUGCGGCAUGGGGCAUGUGGCAUGUGGCAGGGUAGCAACUUCAACAACAAGGGGCACUCGCACACACCGGUCGUAUUAGUAUUGGGCAGAUGCUGAUAACUUGGCCGGUUCUCUGCUUCUUUUUUUUUCCCCCAACUAGCAGUGGUGCUUUUCUAUUUUUCCUGUUUGCUUUUUUUUUUUUUGUUUUUGUUUUGUUUUGCCUGCAACUAGCCACGAAGUGAACAGGUGCUUUGGUGCCGCAGACUGGGGCCUGCAAUCGAUACAUUUAUUGCUUUUACCCCCCGCAUAUUGGCCGCUGAUCGAAAAUGGGGGGCUUACGGCCGGAACAAAAACACGCUCUGGCAUCAUGCCUGCCACUUGUGUCUGGUCAGUACAGUCGAUAAGGUGGGGUACACCACGAACGCAGUAAUAACAGAUGAUUCCAAAAAAUAUUAACUAGUAUCUAAAUGUUUAAGUUAUAAAUUAGAAUUACGCAGCGAUUCUGCUUUACUGAUCCUAGAGCAGCUAUAGGUUCUUCUCAUUUCAAAAGGCUUCUAAUCGGAUUUUAAUUUGUUUUUUUUUUUCGGUGUGGGCCAUCUCUCUAGCUCUCUCUCUCUCUCUUCCCACAACUCAAAGGUCGAUGUCGCGCUUGUUUUUCUCAUUUUUGUAUUUCAGCUUUUUACUUUUUGUAGCGCCAAGCUUAUCAAGCUUAUGGAAUGAUUGUUUUUGUUUACAGCCCCACGCAAUUAGCUGAGGUGCUGAUAAGGUCCACUGGGCUCGAGUACUCGAGUGGAAUAUAUAUAAGCGGUAACAUGAAAUCUAUUGCCUGGCUUCGAUUCCAGGCACCCCCUCUGCCGCUAAUUCCCAUCACCAUUGUGAAAUCUAUUGGCCAAGAACAACAACGCACAUUGUUAUCUUUGAUUGACCGUUUUAAGUAGCGGUUUCUUGCCCACUACCCCGAAAUCUUACUCCUCGUUCUACUGGCGGCCUCUUCCUUUUGCCAUCGGCCAUUUGAAGAUUUUUGUCUGCUUUAUUAUAGAAAUUUGUUGUAAUUCACUGAGAGGCCACUUAUGAUAAAUCGCCAGAGAUUGGUUGGGAUACAACGGGGGUAUGGAGAGUGGUCUUUGGGGAGGGCGUGACCAGUGGCCAAAGCUACUGAAGUAGCCGCUGACAUGGCAGAGCACAAGAUCGGAGAACUUCAGAUGGCUGCGAGAUAGAAAUCGGAUGGUGGAAAACAUAAACUUAGCUAUAGAAGGGGUAAUUCUAUUAUCUUCAGACAAACACAUAUGAUCAUUUCUAUACUAUUCAUAUCAAGUAGAAUUUUAUUAUAUUUAUUUAUUAUUUUAUAACACCCUGCGAAUAAAUUUUAAGGGAAAAGCCAAAAGUGCUCUGUACCAAAUUGAUGACAGGGGAAAAGUUUUAUUGCAAAUUCCCGCGAGAAGUGCGAGGUUGAAAUAAAGAAACGUUUCCUUACUUUUUGAUGAUGAAGAGAAGCGCUUGGGGAUAUCACCCCCCAAACCCUUAUCCACACACCACCCAACCCCCCCUACGCCCCAGAGGUACAAAUUAAAAUUUGCCAAAAGAUUAAGAGAAAUGCAGAGGAAAAUGCGGAGGAAGGCAAAGGAUUCCCUGCGAAGGACAAACAGUCCCCAGAGUGAAAAGCAACAAAGGAUAGACAAAAAGAGUGUGACACAACAGAAUGAUGAUUACCCAAAGGUAAUACGAGGCUGGGGACUCUAAAAGAGUGAGAGAUGACAAGGAAAGAGUAACCAGAGGCGGACAAAUGAAAAUCCAAGCCGAGAUGAAUGUGGAGCGGAAGUGGGCGGCCAAGGAAGCGCGGAAAACUGUUUUUCCACAAAUGGAAUGGAAAUGAGAGUACGAACAGCAGCAGUAGAAGAACGAGAACUGGAAAAUGAGAAGCAUGCAAAUGUAAAGUCAAGUUUCUUAGGCGCAAUAAUACAGAAUCUAGUUGGAAAACAAAUAGAGACAGACUAGAUUCAAAGUGUUGAGUUUCAAAUGCCAUAUAUGAUAUGAUUCCAUUUAAAUGAUUUACAAUUAUAAUAAUUUAACGACACGACAAAGUUUAAAUGCCAUUUGAAAGGGUAAAAAUCAACGCCAAUAGCAAUAAGUAGAGCAGGCAGCAAAACCGAAGGCAAACCAAGCUGAAAGACAGACUGAAGUGGCCGGCGGAGGAGGAAUCUGCAGAAGAUUCUGUGGCAGGAGGAGAAUCACCAGCAGUGGCACAUGGCAGACGCUGUGGCAGACGUGGAUAUAUUGCCAGAGCACCAUGAACCGGCGAGGGGGGCAACUCGGGGUUGUAAAACUUAGCAAAGAGAAACCCCAAAAGCCUGACUGACAACAGAAAGCAGGAAAAUUGGGGGUGGGGAUGCCCAGCAACAGAUCUCUGCUUCUUACUUUGCCAUUGAUUUGAAUGGAGCUCAAAGGCAACCGAAACGAAACCAAAACAACCCAGAGGAAGCUGGAAAAAAUGGAUGAUGAAGAGGCUACGGAAAAAACAAAACGAAGCCGCAUGGUGGAAAAAGUUUUCUUCGCUUCUCUUUUUUUUUUUUGUCUGUCUUUGGGGUAAAGUUUUCCGCAGAAGUAAAGGAAAACUUUAACUGAGCAAAUGUUCAAAUAUGGCUGCCAGUUUUCUAAGAAUGGUUCCCCAGUCUCUUUCCAUUCUUGAGCGGCUUUUAUUGUUGCGACAUUCGCAAUGAAAAGCAAUUAGGAAGCUAAAUUGUCAAGGGCUUUUUCGCAUUUGAAUAUUUGGUUCAGUUCUUUUAUUUUUUGGUAAAACCAUUUGGGAACAAGUCCAAGGUUUCAUUUGUUGGGAAAAUCUGGGACUUUGACGCGAAAAGUUUUAAGUCAUUUGAUAUAAAUGGUACCUUAAGAUAUUUCCAGAAAACAAUCUCCAAAAUGAGAAAAAGAACGUAUUUAUAGAUUUCCCGGUUUCUAAGCUUAGUAUUCAGAUCACUUCGUCUGCCCUCAUCAGCUUACUCAUUAAUCUGUAUCCUUUUAGUCCGUCUGCCGUUUCCACCCAUUUAUUUUUCUAAUGGCUCAGAGUCUCGGGUUCUGCAGGGAAAAUGCGGGGGAAAUGCGGAAAAUGAGGAGCUGGAAAAAAAAUAGCCAGCGAGCCGUGCAAACUCAGCAGCCAGCGAGCAGAGUCUAUUUGGUGAAAUUACUUUCAUUGCACUGCAUUUUCAAGUGGGUAUGUGUGCUUGGGUAUUCAUGUGCAGUAUAUAUAUGUGUGUGUGUGUUGGUGUGUGGGUGAACGGAUGGGUGUGUGUGUGUGUGUGAAAGGGGUCGAGGGAUGGAGAGCGGAGCGGGCGCAGUAACUCAAGAGUCCUUGAGCGUCUGAUUUUGUGUAUAGACGUGGACGGUAUUUGUUUUGCCGAGUGGCGAAACUGCGAGGGAGAAUUUGCGGAGCGAAGGGACAUGAGGCGGGGGCAAGGUGUAAAACUACAUGUGCACUGUAAGAAAAAAUAUGACAACAAGUAAUUAAAUAUAUAAGUUUACAUUGGUAUCAGAAGUUAAAACUGAUGGUAACAUUUUCUUUAAAAAUAUUAUUAUUAAAUUAAAAACUAUAUUAUUAUUAUUUUUACUCUGUAAAAACAAAUAGAGUCCAAAAAACCUUAAGAAACUGUGGUUCCCCCACGAAAAAUGCAGUGAAAAAAUGAAUGCACCAACUGCUCCAUCUCCCUUCCACCCAGCAGCUAUCUCUUUUGCUCCUCGCACUUUAAGGAUAAACAAAAGCGCAAAAAAACAGUGCAGGAGGACAAUAUGAAGGCCUUUGGUUUCUCAUACAGAACAGUGAAAAUGAAGUGAAGGUUUCUCCGAGCAAAAGAGGGCAGACACAGUGAGACUUUUGAAGGAUUUGCUAUGCCAUCGGGUAUGCUUUGGCUCGGUCCCUAAUGAGUGGAGGCCCGGGAUUGUUAUCCUCGACUUAUGAGCUGGGGUCUCCUGAUGAUUAAUGCAGUCACAUGUCGGGCUCAGAGUCGCGUCCGUGUCAUUGUCAUAGCAAGCAAACAAGCGGAGUAGCUGGCUUUGCCUAGCUACUGCCACUUGGUCUGCCACUCAAAAUCAGAACCCGACUUGAGACCAGAGUUUCUGGGGGAAGAGGAGCAUAGUCCAUUCAGAACCAGAGAUUCCACGGGUCUCGGCGAAGCGCAACGGAAUGAAAUGAAAUGUGAAAAACGUGACGCAGAAUGGCAGGAUUUUCCCUUUUCCAUUCCCCCUUACAUACUAAUUUGCUGGCUUGCAAAACUGACUUCGUGGCAAAAGUUUCUAUCGCCUAACAACUCAAGUAAUGGCCGGAUUUUGUUGUAAAGUGCUUGACAAGAGCGGUAGCUCCUCAAUCCCUUUUCACCUGCCACCAAGAAGCAGACUUAAAGUUUCCCACACCAAAUUUGAAUUUCUACGAAAGGGAAUACUUGAUAAUAUUACGCAUACGCCACGUGGCACAACGCGUAAAUAUUAAACGCAAGCACGAAGCCCCCGGCUGCACCCCAAAAAUAAAUGGCCUUGGGCACACGUCACCUGGCAGCCAAAACCUCCAGCCCCUGUCCCCAUGAACUUUGGUCUAUAUCCAUCACCUUUUGUAGGCACACCUUAAAGUCUUAAACUUGUGCAAACAAUUAUAAGCGGGCGAGUGACAGAGAGUGUUUCAAAUGCCAUCUUUAUAGAUAGCUAUAGAAGGUUAAUCAAUAAAUUCUAAAGAGAAUACGGGGUUGGAGACGAGAAGCGCUAAAACGUGCCGAAAUUGUAGGGGCACUAUUGAAGGAAAGGCAAUGGGUGCACAACAGCAGGAUAUGGGGAUACCAAAAGUCAGCGCAGCCAACAUUUCCCACCACAUACCACCUAACUUUUCGGCCAAAAGGCAAACAAAUUAAAUUUACUGCCGGCAAAACAAUUUUGCCACGUGUAAAGACUUUCGGCGGCGAUAGAGAGGGCUACAUGGUGCUAGAAAGAGAAAAGCAUAAUAAUGAACACAGAAACAAGUCGCGUCGUUUGCCAGACACGUAGCCGAGUUAUGUAACACGUGCCAGUAGCUCUUGCAUGUAUUUGUGUGUUUGUAACAGUAACAGAAACAUGGAAAGCUCAUUGAAUAUGCAAAUUAUAUCCAAAAAUUCCCGAGAACAAUAAGAGCACUGGAAUCUGCCUGAGACAGCCAGAAAGAGAGGGAUGGGGAAUUGAGGUUGUACCGAGUACUGAGCGACAGAGCUAGACAGACAGAUGUCAGACAAGACAGAAGAGCGACAUUCCUGAUUAGAUGUGGGUUAUUCGGGUUUAUAAGGGUUGGCUAAAAGGAUGCAGGAAGCCAGGGAGGAGACGAGCCCCAGACGACGAGCGACAGACAGGACAGGAAUCAGAAGCCAAAGGAAUAAUGCUAAUGUUUGACAUAAUCGAGGCAAAAACCGCAGAGAACUAAAUGCGUGAGCUUACACGGAGAGAAAGAAAAAGGUGUUAAAGUGUUUAACUUUAAGAGAUUCAAAUAUGAAUUCUCUUCUUGUAUAUCUUGCUAUAUAGCUUAAAAAUAUUUAAAAAUUCGGAUAAUAUAUUUAAAGAUUCUUUAAAUCUCAACUUUAGAACAAGUUCCAUUCUUUGAGUGCAUAUGCCCUACACUUGAGCUCCGCUCGUGCGAAAGCUGAGCCAAACUUUUGACACUUUUUCCUUCUUCUCCAGUAGUUGUCAGCCGCUGUCUUAGUUUGCUUGGCUGAGUUUCCCGGGUGGAGUUUUUCGCUGCGAAAGUGAGUGGGUUUUUGGUGGGGUGGGGAAAAACUAGCGGGUAGGGGGGACGUGACAAAGUCCUAGAAACUGCGGAAACCGCAGAACAGCCGCAAAAGAGGAGGGACUUGUUCAAGGAGUGUGUGUGAGUUCGUAGGGAGCUAACGCCCAUAAGUGUGCUUUAAUUUAUGAUGUGCUUUAAUUAUGAUGAAAAGCGCGAUUUCACAUUUUUUACUUCUUUCUUUUCAAGCGAUUGUUGUCUCAUCUGCAGCCCAAGGAUGCAGUAAAUAAUAUUUAAUACAUAAUAAAAUGGAAGACAAUAUUUUGCAACACCCACAUCGAUGUGGAAAUCACAAGUACACAAAGAAAUCUGCCCGCAUAGCAACGUCGGAAAAAAAAUUAUAAAGGCGCACAUGGCAUAUAAAUUCCCAAGCUUAGACAACGACGGAAGCAAAGAACAGCACAAGAAAAGAAAAAAUAAAUACCCAACCAAAAAAAGAAAAUAAAAAUAACCAAGAAAAACUAAGAAGAGGCAGACAAAGGCAACCCAAACGUUGGCAAGAGGAAAAAAAUAAAAGCCAGCACGAGCCAAACAACAGCUGGGACACGGACAAGAACACGGGGAGUGGGACUCGGAGGCAAAAAGGACGAAUAAAAAUGAAAAAAAAA
rnacentral:sRNA from 1 species